AGCGUUCAUCUUCUCAGAAGACGGAAGUAAGGAAACAUCCUGAAGGAAUUUACC
rnacentral:ncRNA from 20 species